AAAUGAGAUCAGAUUUUAGAGAAAAGAAAAAAUCGGACCCUCUCUCAUACAAAACACGAAAACGGCGCAUCUGAGUUCCGGUUCUUCUCCAUUUUUUCCUUCUUAUUCUCCAUUCUCACUUUGGCUCUCAUACACACUGCUUCUUAACACACACACACACUGAAGCCUCUAGCAACAAGUGAAAAUUAUAAAGUUUAGAGCUAAAAUUCAAAGAUUGCAAAGCUGAUUUUCAGUUUCAAAUCCUUGUCUUCUCUCACAUUUUUUGGGGAUUUCAGAGCUUGGUGGAGCUUUAUAACUUGUUUCGAAGCUAAGAGGUUGAUUUAAAUUUCAGUCAUUGUUCGAUUCCUCUGAUUUUUAGUGUUUCUGGAAUUGCUUAGCUCCAAUUGGGUUGGUUUUCUAACUUUAGUCGAUUUAUUCAAGUUUUCUUUGUUUACCCAGGAUGGUAUCUCUUUCCCUUGUGCCCCUCAGAAAAGCAAGAACUACUGCUAAAUCAGAAGGAGUAUAUAGGACUAGAGUCUGGUCUUUUAGCAUUUAACCCUUUUAUGUAAAGGAUUUUGAUGUUCAAAAAGCAAUUACGCGAAGGAGGUUUUCUUGAACAGAUUUUUGAGUGGAAUAUGUAGUGAGGUAUGUACAGAAAGAAAAUUUGUGUAUCUUAAACAUGUUAAAAAAAUAUUUGUAAUAUCUGCACUUUAUAUCUUCUACUGCUUAUUAUUGUUCUAAGAGGGUAAAUAAAAAUAUUCUUGUUGGUAUAUUAGGGUAAUUUGAUAUUAGUUGCUAAGACACUACGGCUUGCAUUCAGAGAUUUCAAAUUACGCUCCAAGCAUGCUUGUUAAAAGAGAAAAAGCAAAAUAUAAUUAAUAAGAUAUUGGAUGGUAAAUCUCUAAUUUUUGAAAUUGCAGUAUGUAUCGAGGAAACUCUAUUUCCUUCUUGAAAUUGUAGCAGUUCAAAUGUCAAUAAUGCAAUUGCAGCAUUUAAGCAUUCCAUUCUUUUAGCUGUCAUGACCAAGUCUUGGCAAUCUUUGCCUUUGUGAUAAGAUUUGUACUUCUGAAUGUUCCUAACUGAUAGAACAAUUUAAACAUCCAUUCAAUCACUUAUUUUUAAUGCAUAAGGAAGGUGAGUUUUACCUACAAGCUGUAUGGAGCAUUCUUGAACUAGUUAGGUGUAAUUUCAUUUGCUUGCCUAUGUGAAGUUUCAUGAGACUUCUUAUUUGUUGCAGAUUUUUCACCCAGUGGAACCAAAUAAUGAAUCUUCUUAUUAGUUUACUAGCUUAUUUCUUUGAGGUUUAAGGCAGAGCUUAUUGUAAUUCAACUUCUUUGUAGAUAUUAAUUAAUGAACAUCGUAGCUUGCUUUAGGUGCGAUUAAAUAAAUUAUCAUAACUACGGAUAUUGUUCCCA